AGACGAACGCGCGACUUCGCGCUUUUAAUGUCCGCGCAGCGAAGUGUUGCCGUUCCGGACUCCGACUGCGCGCUCGGUGCGUAAAAACAAAGCUCCGCGCGCGCUCUUACCGCAGCUCGCUGCCUUUUUCUUCAAUCUCCCCCUUCAAGAAAUAAGAAAAAAAAGCUGCAUCUAAGUCACUCACCUCCGCAGUAUGUGCGCACACCAAAUAUUAUAAUUGGGGCGGUUGUUUACAGUACAAGGCGGGGUGAUUGGAGCGGCAGCGUGGAAGCGCCGAAAUUUCAGGUGAAUAAUUAAUAAAGCGAGCGGCGUGCAGUCUGUCGCGGUGAGCUUGGAGCGACCAGGGGAGCAGCUGCAGCUUUGGGAGCUUUACAGGAGGAGUAGAGGCUGAAUUGCGGACUGUGGGGAUUAAGGGCUGCUCUGGCUUCCACCUUGGGCCGACAUGACGGUUUCAGGGGUGUCACCGAGGGCACGUCCGGCCACGAAGCGUGCUACUCCGGGUCUUGAUUGCUGUGAUGCAGAAUGUUCCAAACUCAGAGCAAAGAUCGGGCAAAGAAAAGGUCAACAUGUUGGUUUAGGGAAAACCACACAUAACCAAUAAAAAAAAACGUUAUUUUUGAAGCCCAGAACCUUAUCAUCUGGUCAAGUUAAUUAUUAUUUUUGAUUUAUUUUAUAGGUUUCCAUUUAUUUAUGGAAUAAAAGUAAAGACGUGUGUUUUAUUUUUAUAUCGGAUAAGAACAUUUCCCCUUUUGACCCUUUUUCCCCACAGUCCAAAACCAUGUUUGAACAGCGAUGUGCACGUUGUUUGUCUUUUUAUGGACCACCUGUCCAGGCUGCACCCUGUCUGUCCCCUGAGGACUCUGCCCAGAUGAAGCUGUUGAAUAGAAACUGCAUACUUUUCAGAAAUGAACAGAAUUAUAGGUGAGUUUUUAGGCUUUUUUUCCCCUUCACUGGUCAGUUAACGCGCGUAAUGACGCAGCAGGGUUACAUGAAACUAAAGUGCGAACUUAAGCUUCAAAUACACAGUAUACCUGCAAAGGGCCCUUAUCACGAAGAGUCAGACAAAAGCUGUACUGUUUAAGAAAAAGUCCAUCCUUAAGGCCACAGGAACAUAAUCCAAGAGCACACUUGAACGUGGUUUCAUAUUGUUGAAGAAAAUGACCACAUUUACAUAAAAUCAGCAGAGAAAGAGAAAGGCAGGAAGAGUCUAAAGAUCAAAUUUAAACUAAGUGUUAAAAGAAAGCAAAAGAUAUACACUGAAAAAACGGGAAAAGUGGGGUUGUUCAAUUUACAAAUAGUAAACAUGUUUGUUUAAUAUGAACAAAUUAUGUUUACCUUCGAAACAUAAUAUAAUCUUGAAAAUCACACAUAAUUUCUUGCUGUGUUACUUUUAUGUAUUUAAAUCAUGUUGACAAAACAUGAAAUAGUUCUGCUUGAUCCUUUGCCCCUUAAUUUUGGAUAAGUAAACCCCAUCGGUGAAGAAGAAUUCCAGGAGGGGAAACUUUGCAGUCAGCCAUUUUAGAGAAGCUACAAGCACCUGCUCUGGCUGGAGGAACCUAAAAAAGAGCUCAUCACACAACACUUCCAACUGCUCCUCCCUGAUCAUGCUGGGCUCCAUGCUCCAGUCUUCACUGAGUCAGACUGCUGACCUUCUCGCCAAUAUAAGCAAGUUCAGGGGUUUAUUCAAAGUACAGAAUGAAGACCAUGCAGCACUCCAGGAGGCAAUCGAGGACACCACGGUGGAAAUUUCCCUCCUAAUGGAAACUGGCAGUGGUGAGGAAGAGGACAUUCUCGUGGUCCACAUCUCCCAGGCUGUGGGGGUCGACCCACCAAGUGUCUGAGUGGCAGUUGCCAAGGCUUUUUUGGCCUUAUUUACAGCACAAAUCUGAUUACCAUCUUCAUCUCAGAAACACCUUGUCAUGGGGCCCGUGGCUUUGCUCCUGCUAUGAUCUCCUGGAGGCCCUUCCCUUCUUGAGCUCUCCCGCUGGUCACAGGUGUUCUGUAUUAUGUUGAUUGGUUUUUCUAUUUAUGCAGUGUCUGAUCUUGUUUCUGUGUCGGAGCAUCUUCGUUCUACGCUCUGGUGUUAUGGUUCUCUGGCAUUAAAGCCCCUUCGAGUGAA